GCUAAUAGAAAUUUUUUUUUUUUUUAAUGCCUGAGAUACAAGGCUUAGUGGUCUGCAUAAAGGAGAGACAUGAAUGGCCUGAGAGGAGAUCCUGGGCCCAGGACCUGUCCCUGGGCUAAGAAACUGAGCAUAGAGGAGGGUGGGAUGAAGACAUUAAGUAUUGUGGUGGGGAGGACACAGAUGUUUAUGGGGAGAGGAAUUAGAUGUUGUGGAAAAUAAAUUCUAUAUCCUAUAAUAUCCCCCUCAUACAUUCUUCGGCAAUAUAUCCUUUUUUUUUCUUUGACCUAACAGGGCAGAUUUGUUUGUUUGUUUAUUUUUGUGGAGUUGGGGAUGUUACCUGGGGCUUCACACAAGCCAGGCAAGUGCUGUACCACACAGAGCCACAUCCCCAACAGCAGGGUGGAUUUGAGAGGUUUGUGUUCAGGAGGCAGGGCAAGAAUUGGGGGCUGGCUUCGGGGCUUCGUGACAGAUGGGUUUCACCUGUCUGUACCCAUCUCUAUACUCUAAAUCCUAUGAGGGCUGGGAUCAGUUCUAUCCUGUUCUCUGUGUCUGCUGCAGUUCUGAGUACACAGGGACUUGGUAAGUAUUUGGUGAAUGAAUGAACAAGUUUGGCAAAAUUAGGGAAACCGUUGUCAUCCCACGCCUGCCACUUUCUCAGCUCUGAAAUAGGGGGACUGAUAAUCACUUUGUAUACUUAUCAUGAGAUUUAAAUCUAAUUUGAUAAAUGGUAACUAUGGUUAUUAAUUCUUUCCAAAUUCCACCAGCUAACCUACAAAUACUAGUAACAACCUCUAACAUUUAGUGAGCAUUUUCUUUGAGCAAGACCCCUUUGCUAAGCACUUCACAGAUGUUACCACCUUUGAUUCUAGUCCUAACAACCACCUUGUAACUGCCCUGAUGUUAGCUCUUCCUUCAUGACAUUCUAUAUGACCAGCAUCUAGUCAUAUAGAAUGUCAUACCACACAUGAGCACCAAAAUCUAGAUAGGGAAAUGUGGAAUCCUUUGCUAGUAUGCUUCUUGCUACUUCAGUCUCUAGAGAUGCACAGUUCAAUUGUUCCCACAAGAUUGGACAGAACAUAAGUGAUGGAUAAUUUAAGAGCUACCCCAGAGUGAAAUGCGAUGGAUUUGCAGUUGUUGUAGCAACGGAGACCACAUGACCGUAGAGUCAGGCAAAGGCUGAGCCUGUGGUCACUAGUGAUGGGAAAAGUCGGGGGGUGGAUUUGUGAGCACCAGGAAUCAGUAGGCUUUCUUUUCUGGCAGGGUCUAUUCCUGGAACAGCUGAAAAUACAGAGGCUAAAUUCGGAUUUCUGGAUAAGACUCAAAGAUUGACUGAAAAUACCAAGUGAUGAACAUGACAAUAUUGUAAUAUUAUCAACUGAAAUUUUCAUUUGCUUUGCAAGCCAAAGGAACUUCUCAAAUUAUGAAGCAACUGGUAAAGAAUUAAGGUAACAUGAAGAGCUUAAGUUAAGAUUGCAUGUUCUCUAGACUAGAAUAACUCCAUUGUGGAGAAGCAUUUUAAUCAAAAGCAGAAGGCUCUAAUCAAAAGUAAUAAUGAUUGUUAUUAAGUUUUGGUGGUUAAAAGGAAUAAACUUCAUUUUAAAAAGAUCCCCUGACAUGGAAUGUUCAGUUUUCUACUCAUGAAAUUUACUGUAAUUAACUCCAAAGGACUCAGCUCUGGGAGACCCAGACUCUGGUCUGGGACCUACUGCUACCAUGCAUGGUGAAUGACCUUGAGAAGUCCUCCAGUCUUGUUGGAUCUCUGUUUUCUUAUCUGCCAGCUGAAGAGAAUGGAGUAAUUUCUACACUCCUUUCAGCUCUAAGACGUUGUGAUUACUUUAAAUCAUUUCCAGAAAACUCAGUGCUUAUCUUUGGAAUAACUGCUAAGCAACAGCCUGAAAUAAGAGCUAAAAAUGAAGCGAGACUCACCAGAGUAGUGACUAAAGCUUACGCCAGCAUCAUUGUGCGAUUAUAGUGCCCUAGACCCUGUGCCUCACAUGUUGCAUUUAUCAUCCACUUAAGCCUUCAGACACUCUCAGGAAUACCCAAGUAUGACAGCUAGAACAUGUCUCAAACAAGGGAUGACAGCAAACUGUCGAACGUCCAGGUCUCCGCCAACGGGUCCUUACUUAUAUUAAAGAUAGAUCUAAAUCCCUUCAACGUCAAUAUGAAAUAAUCCAGGGAGAGAUGGUUGCUGGUAUCGCUGUACAUGGCUUUUUUUUUUUUUUUUUAAAUCUUAUCUCCCUGAGGCAUUUGGUUGUUUACCAAGGUCCACGGCAUAAUUACAGACCAAUUCUUAGUCUUCCUAUUACUAGACUUUUGGGCAACAUUUGAUAUGAAACAAUUGAAACAAUUUCUGAUCAUGGGGCUCCGAAGGACCCCAAACUUAUCUGGCAAAGACGUGUGACCUAAUGAGGAGGGUCUGAACAGGUCACCAGAACAAGAAGAGCCUAAGACAGGAAUACAAAGAUGAAUACAAGCCAAGUCUGUUCACCUUGGUGAACUCAUGCAGGCUGAAGCUUUACAUACUGAUGGUUCUAAAAUUAAAACUUGACGCCAGAUCUCUGCUGUGAACUUUAAAACAGAUAUGUCCAACUGCCAACUCAGUAUUUUCACUUGGAUACCUAAUCUCAAUGUGAGAAUAGAACUUUUGAUUUUUUUCCUCUAAGCCUGCUCCUCUCCUAGUGUUCUAAAACGUAGAAAAGGCAAUUAUCAAUCACCUAGUUGCUUGGAGGAGGGCAGGGUGGAAUGAUAGAUCCUUAAUACUUGGUGGCAUCAAAGGUCACUGAAGGAACUCAAGGACAGACUGCCUCAAGACUUCUUAAUAACUAAACACAAAAAUGUGCUUGUGGUUUGAAUCCUCUGUUACAUUUUCUGCUUCUUGCAGCUCCAUGCAACCUUAUUGAUACAAUCAGACAAGAAUAAGACUCACUGGCACACAGAGCUGUCCAAGUAUACAGAAACCACACAGUGAUAGGAAACAUCCCAAUGUGCAUACAGACAAUUUACAGAAUGUUUUACUUUUAUAGAAUGAAGUAAUAAAGCGGUAAUUCAAAAAAUA